rnacentral:rRNA from 1 species
GGCAAAAGCUCAAAUUUGAAAUCUGGCGUCUUUGGCGUCCGAGUUGUAAUUUGAAGAAGGUAUCUUUGGGCCCGGCUCUUGUCUAUGUUCCUUGGAACAGGACGUCACAGAGGGUGAGAAUCCCGUGCGAUGAGAUGACCCGGGUCUGUGUAAAGUUCCUUCGACGAGUCGAGUUGUUUGGGAAUGCAGCUCUAAGUGGGUGGUAAAUUCCAUCUAAAGCUAAAUAUUGGCGAGAGACCGAUAGCGAACAAGUACAGUGAUGGAAAGAUGAAAAGAACUUUGAAAAGAGAGUGAAAAAGUACGUGAAAUUGUUGAAAGGGAAGGGCUUGAGAUCAGACUUGGUAUUUUGCAUGUUGCUCUCUCGGGGGCGGCCGCUGCGGUUUACCGGGCCAGCAUCGGUUUGGAGCGGCAGGAUAAUGGCGGAGGAAUGUGGCACGGCUUCUGCUGUGUGUUAUAGCCUCUGACGAUACUGCCAGCCUAGACCGAGGACUGCGGUUUUUACCUAGGAUGUUGGCAUAAUGAUCUUAAGUCGCCCGUCUUGAAACACGGACCAAGGAGUCUAACGUCUAUGCGAGUGUUUGGGUGUAAAACCCGUACGCGUAAUGAAAGUGAACGAAGGUGGGGGCCCAUUAGGGUGCACCAUCGACCGAUCCUGAUGUGUUCGGAUGGAUUUGAGUAAGAGCAUAGCUGUUGGGACCCGAAAGAUGGUGAACUAUGCCUGAAUAGGGUGAAGCCAGAGGAAACUCUGGUGGAGGCUCGUAGCGGUUCUGACGUGCAAAUCGAUCGUCGAAUUUGGGUAU